rnacentral:rRNA from 1 species
UACAGAGGGUGCAAGCGUUAAUCGGAAUUACUGGGCGUAAAGCGUGCGUAGACGGUUACAUAAGUCGGGUGUGAAAGCCCCGGGCUCAACCUGGGAAUUGCAUUCGAGACUGAAUAGCUAGGGUACGGUAGAGGGAAGUGGAAUUUCCGGUGUAGCGGUGAAAUGCGUAGAUAUCGGAAGGAACAUCAGUGGCGAAGGCGAGUCUCUGGACAUUUCCUGACGCUGAGGCACGAAAGCCAGGGGAGCAAACGGG